rnacentral:rRNA from 1 species
UACGUAGGCAGCGAGCGUUGUUCGGAGUUACUGGGCGUAAAGGGUGUGUAGGCGGUUCUUUAAGUUUGGCGUGAAAUCUCCCGGCUCAACCGGGAGGGUGCGUCGAAUACUGAGGGACUAGAGUACGGGAGAGGAAAGUGGAAUUCCUGGUGUAGCGGUGAAAUGCGUAGAUAUCUGGAGGAACACCGGUGGCGAAGGCGGCAUCCUGGACCAUGACUGACGCUGAGGAGCGAAAGCCAGGGGAGCAAACGGG